rnacentral:rRNA from 1 species
AUGGGCUUCUUGCACUUUAAUACCAAUAGUGACAUCUUGCACAGUUGCGUCGCACACGACUACACAGAUUUUAACACGACCAUUUUUUACAACCUAACCAACUCCUAUGUCGCCCAGUUCAACCACACCAGCACCUUGCUCACCUCCAUCAUCAUGUUCGUCCUCGCAGCGCUCUUCUUCAACCUCAACCUCUUCAGCAGGCUCUCCGACGUCAGCGCCAUCCUCGACCCCAGCGUCCGCCUCUUCAUCACCUCCGCGCUCUCCCUCUUCCUCCCCGUCAUGUCCUACCUCUUCUCCGAGGCCAGGAACGCCACCGGUGGCGCCCGCUCCAAGUUCACGGACGAGCUGCCCCUGCGAGCCCGGCUCAUCCUCAUCUGGAUGCUCCUUGUGGAGCUCCUCCGCAAGAAGGCCGAGGAGAUCCACAUGCAGGGUUACUCCGGCACCAUGGACCGUGUGGGGCGUGUCCUCUUGCUGGGGAGCUUCGUCUUCUUCCACCUGCAUGAUGCUGGCAAGCGGUCCAUGCUGGGCAUCCUCUGGCUUCUCUGUGCCACUAGGCUGGUACAGAGGAUCGUCUUCACCGAGGUCGGGAAACGCUCCCUUGCCUACGGUGUAGGCAAGAACGCUAGGCUCAUCACCUCCUACAUGGCUCAAGUGCUCGAAGAAGAUCAAAUGGAGCACCGUCACCAUAGCCUGGAUGGAGACGAGCUACUCAGGAGGUGCAAGUACGCGGUGAUGGAAGAAGAGAAUCUGGUGGUUCAGGCCAGCCCGGAUGGCUACCGCCUAACCAGCGACGCCGCCGCCGUCACCGUCGGCAAGAUCUGGGGGCUUGCCGAGAUCUCUUCCCUGGACGGAGAUAAACGUCUGAGGCAGCUCUGCCUCUCCUUUGCACUCUUCAAGCUGCUGCGCCGGAGGUUCGAGCGCCUGCCGGCAAUGACCGCGGCGGAGACCCGCAGCUACCGGGAACUCAUCUUCAAAGGUAUGCGCACCGACAUAGAGAAAGAGACAGCAGGGGCAAGCACGGACACGGCGGAGGCCCUGUUCCGGCUGACCAACGACGAGCUCAGCUUCCUAUGCGAGUAUUACCACCCGGUCGUCCCCGUCGUCCUGGCAAGUCCCUUCUUCCUGCUCGCCAACUACUUGCUGCUCCCGAUGCUCGUCCUCGUCCUCUGCCUCGUCCUCAUCGUCCUCUGCACCAACGGCGACAUCGGCUACGCCCGGGACAGCAUCAAGGACGACAACUACUUUACUUUCUUCAGCGUAACCACUAUGAUGACCGGGUGCCUGCCUAAAAUCUUUACUUCCCGCUUAGUUUUCUUCUCCUUCUUGGACUUCUCCAUCACCUCGCUCCUAUUCCUCAUGGUUGUCUACGAGGAAGUGUGGGAGUUCCUCGUCCUUGUGCUCUCCGACUGGUUCAUGGUGUCACUGCUAUGCAAGUACGCUGUGAAACCCGACGGGCGCCUUGGCCGCGUCUUCCACUGGGCCAUCCACGGCAUCACGGGGAUGCGAAGCAUCAUGCAUCGCCCACACAUUAGCUUCAACCAGCUCUGUGUGGUGAGGUUUUGCUGGCUAGCAAUGCCGUUUUCGUUCUCGCUCCCCGUGACGCUGCCCAUCAUACCAUUACCAGCCAUGCCUGUGCCGGACCAGGUGAAGCUUUCCAUCAUGGAAUAUCUCGCCAACGAGUUGCACGACCUUCAUGGCAACCCUACCUCACUUACACUGAGCAGAGGCGGGUUCGCGCUUGCAGACCACACGGAUCUCUUGCCUUUCUGCGAGAGUGACAGUGUCGCCGAGGUUAUCCUUACUUGGCACAUCGCCACCAGCCUCUUCGAGGUGAUGCAUUCCACAACCUCUGAUGAUCAUGCUCAGGCUCAGAGCCUGUCCAAGUACUGCGCUUACCUUGUGGCCAUCCACCCGGAGCUGCUCCCCGAAUACCAGGAGAGCACGGAGCUCGUGUUCAAGGACAUGAUGCUCGAGCUGAGUGGUGUACUCGGGUUCUGGCGCUGCUACUUCUCGCCGUGCGUCAACACCCGGUACAACAAGAUCAUGGGCGCCCCAGAGCAGCCGAGCAGCAUGCCAAGAAAUGUCGUGAAAAGAGGCGCGGAGUUAGCAAAGAAGCUGGAGAAGAAAGCUCGUGAUGCCAAGGAUUCUGGGGAAGCGGUGUGGAAGCUGCUGGCAAAUCUUUGGGUGGAGCUCGUCGUCUACGUCGCGCCAUCCAAUGACGAUGGUUGUAUAAUGGGGCACGAGAAACUGCUAGUUAAGGGUGGCGAGUUCAUCACCAUGCUCUGGGCGCUGGCCUCGCACGCCGGCAUAAGCCGUCCAGCCGAUAUACCACGGGCGCACGUCGCAAUUGAACGUGUGACUGACGUUAUUGUAUAG